UACGGGGGGUGCAAGCGUUAAUCGGAAUUACUGGGCGUAAAGCGUGCGUAGGUGGUUCGUUAAGUCCGCUGUGAAAGCCCCGAGCUCAACUUGGGAAUUGCAGUGGAUACUGGCGAGCUGGAGUGCGGUAGAGGAAGGUGGAAUUCCCGGUGUAGCGGUGAAAUGCGUAGAGAUCGGGAGGAACACCAGUGGCGAAGGCGGCCUUCUGGACCAGCACUGACACUCAAGCACGAAAGCCAGGGGAGCGAACGGG
rnacentral:rRNA from 1 species